CUUCACUCUGGUACCCAUGGGACAGAAAUCUGAACUGAGGAAUCCCAGCCUCCAUGUGACCUCCAGCUCCUGGCAGACAGGGACGCUGCCCGAGGCAGCUCCACGAGUACCUGAGUGGCGCAGAGCCCACCAAGGGCUGGAUCACUAACUACCUGUAGUCAACGUGAAAGAAGCUGUGGUCUGUGUAUACAAUGGGAUGUUGCUCAGCCGUCAGGAAGGACGGAUACCCACCGCGAGCUUGGACGUGGAGGGACCUGGAGGGUGUGAUGCCGAGCCAAGUACGUCAGUCGGAGAAGGACCAUCACCAUAUGGUCUCACUCAUAUGGGGAAUAGAAGAAAUAGUGGAAGGGAUCA